rnacentral:lncRNA from 1 species
UCUGGUGGUUCCGGCUGUGGCAGCCCCUGCGCUAGCGCCCUGAAGCGCGGCUGCCUGAGCGGGCUCUGCUUGCGAUGAACCCCUACUCCUCCUCCUCCCCCCGUUCGCCCCUUUGUUGGUUUGGCUCUGUGUCCCGUAAUUCACGUGCUUGCUGUGGCUCGCAGGAUGACGCCGCGGGUGUGCGCCAGCACAAGAACUCCGAGACUGCAUGGAACGAGGUUCGUUCGAUCGGUACCAUAUCUGUGCUUGGUCUAGUAGAUCCAGGCC